UCGUCGGCCGGGCCGGCGGGGCCCGGCGCGAUCGCGUUGCGCCGCUCGAUGCGCUCCAGGCGUUCGAGCAGCCCGCCGUCGGA
rnacentral:tRNA from 1 species